UCCUCGUAUACAUUCCCCGUACACAUUCCAGACUACGGCCAGACUUGCCUCGGAUGAAUGCGAGAUAAUUGUGAGACUAUCCACAUAUGCAUCCCGUACACUACCCUUAUAGUAGCUGUGCACAACUCGCCUCUGCUUCGCCCGCGCAUGCGUGCAGCAACUCCGGCCUCGCGCGUCACCGCGCCGGGCUCUGCCGCGCCUCCACCCCGUGCUAAGCUUCACCGUGCCUCCCGCGCGAUGCGCUACCACUUCGCCUUGCCUCGCGGUUCUGCUGCUCCGCCGCGCUGUGUUGUCCGCUGCAGGAAUCCCACGCGCCAGCGCUGCACAGCCAUGGUUGCCAGUCCACAGCAGUCAACGCCUGCGUCCUCCUUCCUCCCUGCGUCUACAUGCAGCAGACGUCCUCCCCCGAGCUCGCCUCUGCUCUGCCCCACGAGCGCGUGUCCGCGCGGUGCCGGCUCGGCCUGCCGCCCGCCGGCUCGCCAUCCCGUCCCGGCCGGCUCCCGCAUGACGGCCCCGACCGCGCUGCACAGGCUCCGCCCCGUGGCCGGCCUCCUCCGCAUCCGCAUGCCCACCUGUCCGGCUCCACACAGCGCCCGCCGAGUCCGCCCGCAGCGCCGGGUCUGUCUCCGCCCGCGCCUGGCCGGGUCCGGCCCCAGCUCUUCGCCCGCCCACGGCCGGGUGCAAACCGAGCCGGCUGCAGCCUCGGCCCCUCGGCCGGCUGCUGCCACGCCCCAUCACCGCAUCCGUCUCCACCCAGGCCGACCCUCCAGCAGCGCCCGCGUCGCCCACUGCUCUCCUCGUCGCCGCCGAACACCGUCUCCACAUCGCGGCCGCUGAGGUCCACACGCGCGUGGCCCGCCGUCUCGAUCGGCUCGCACCCGCGGCCCGGCCUCGCCAUCUCUGUCGGCCCCCGCGUCGCGUCCCCGCACCUGUGCCGGGUCCCCGCACCCCGUCGUCUCCGCCGGCUUGCGCCCGCGACCCGGCCCCCGUGCGCCGGCUCCCCGCGUUGGCCGGCCUCCCCGCUCCAGCCGGUUCCGUGCCUCCGCGGCCGACUCCCCUGCAUGUCGGGUCGCCGCGGCCCCUCUGCUCCGCGCGCCCCGACCAGCGCCCGCCGGCUCGCGCCUGCGGCCCAGCCCCGCCGUCUCCGCCCGCCCCAGCGUCGGGUCCCCGCCGCCGCGCCGGGUCCCCACACCCCGGCCGGAUCCGCCCUUGACUCCUGCGGCCCCGCGCCCGCCGGCUCCGACUCCGGCUCAACGCGCGGCCGGGUCCGCGCGCCCACCGGGUCCGGCAUCCCCACCCAGCCUCGCUCCGCCCGUGGUCGUCUCCGGCUCCCCCCGCGGCCGGCUCGCCCCGCGCACGAGUGCUCGUUCCCCUGCUCCGCUUCUGCCGAGUCCCAUUCUGAAGAAAGAUACAGAGAAAAAAAGAGAGUAAAUUGCACAGAAGUAUCAGCAUUGGAAGCAGAUUGGCAAAUUGAUCGGUUGGGCCCACCCGUCAGGUGCCACCCUGGCGUACCCGCGCGCUGACUCGAACGAGCUGGGUCGCACCGUUUAAGCGCGGCUGGUGCGGCCCGAGCCUCCGUCUCCGUCUCCGUCUCGCCAGUCGCCACCGCCGACCGCACGCGCCGCCGCGAGCUCGAGGCACGCUCCUCCACGACCGCGGCCCCGCUCUGGUUACACACGCGCAUCUUCCCGACCCCCGACCCGCCCCGCCGUGCCCGCCUCGCGCUCUCCUCCAUCCGCUUCCGCCGCGGCGCCAACUCCUCCUCCGCUUCCUCCAUCGACGCCGCAGCCUCCUCUGCCUUCGCCGCCGUGGCUACCCCCUGCCCCACCUCCUCAUCCCCUUUCCCCUCGCUGUCAGCCCCCGCGUCCUGCCCCGCCACCGUCUCGGCGCCCCGCGCUGGUGCCCAGGUGGCCGUGGAGCUGCCGUGUGGGAUGGCCGUCGGCUCGCGCGUCACAGUGGUGGCGCUGGCACUUAGCAACAUGGCAUGAAAAUAUGGUUCUUAGCAAGAAACUUUACACAUUGAGCUGAACAUAUGUGCUAAAGAAAGAGAGCUGUUCCUCUUGAGUACAAGUCAAUAUAUCUUAAUGAUUCCAUGAACUCCUGUUUUUAUUUUCUGAGGAACUUGUCGGUCCUUGUGAUUGCAAUGGAAGCAGCUUCUACGGUCCAGGGGCAGUGAGCUGGUGUUCAAGUGUUUGCCAAGCUGUAGUUGCUGGAGCAUGCGCUUCUGGAUCAAGGGGAAGCUGGCUGUGGUGGCUGUUAGAUAUUGCACAAAGUAAAUAAAAACGGAGGGAGUAUUUGCGUAUGGAACUUCGUUUAGGAAGUUGUUCCGUAGUCAAAAUUGAUAAGGUUAGUUGUAAUCGCCAUGCUCAGAUUUAGUUCAUUUUGAACUAACCUCCUGUUUUUGCCGGCUUAUGCGGACCUUUGCUUAUGUGCUUGCAGUUUGUAGGAACUUUGUUUGGAAGUCGUUGCUUUCAAUGCUUGCAGUAUGUAGGAACUCUGUUUAAGAGGUUGUUGCUUCCGUGCUUGCAAUUUGUAAAGACUUCUAAGUUCAGCCAGUUUGUGAUGUUGACAAUGGUGGCACGAGCAUGUCGCACAUCUUCAACUGGCAGUCUGCGACAUUCAUACUUCUUAGAACAAUCAGACAUGCAGGUGGAAUCGACAAUGCACAGGAGCAGCUCUGAACACACAAAAUGAUUUACUCGAA